UACUUCGCGAGAAGAGCACGGAUCGGU
rnacentral:sRNA from 1 species